rnacentral:rRNA from 1 species
UACGAAGGGGGCGAGCGUUGUUCGGAAUUACUGGGCGUAAAGGGUGCGUAGGCGGCGCGGUAAGUCGGGUGUGAAAUCUCGGGGCUUAACUCCGAAACUGCAUUCGAUACUGCCGUGCUUGAGGACUGGAGAGGAGACUGGAAUUUACGGUGUAGCGGUGAAAUGCGUAGAUAUCAAGAGGAACACCUGAGGUGAAGACGGGUUGCUGGGCCAACACUGACGCUGAGGCGCGAAAGCCAGGGGAGCAAACGGG